rnacentral:rRNA from 1 species
UGGGGAAUAUUGGACAAUGGGGGGAACCCUGAUCCAGCCAUGCCGCGUGUGUGAAGAAGGCCUUAUGGUUGUAAAGCACUUUAAGCGAGGAGGAGGGUACUGGUAUUAAUACUACCAGGUACUGGACGUUACUCGCAGAAUAAGCACCGGCUAACUCUGUGCCAGCAGCCGCGGUAAUACAGAGGGUGCGAGCGUUAAUCGGAUUUACUGGGCGUAAAGCGUGCGUAGGCGGCUAAUUGAGUCGGAUGUGAAAUCCCCGAGCUUAACUUGGGAAUUGCAUUCGAUACUGGUUAGCUAGAGUGUGGGAGAGGAUGGUAGAAUUCCAGGUGUAGCGGUGAAAUGCGUAGAAAUCUGGAGGAAUACCGAUGGCGAAGGCAGCCAUCUGGCCUAACACUGACGCUGAGGUACGAAAGAAUGGGGAGCAAACAGG